rnacentral:piRNA from 1 species
UUGGUUUGGUGAUACAUUCUCAUAAUCCCA